rfam:Loxodonta africana unplaced genomic scaffold scaffold_44, whole genome shotgun sequence.
UAAAAGGCUCUUUUCAGAGCCACCCAAUUAAUCUUAAAAGAGCUAU